rnacentral:rRNA from 1 species
UACGUAGGUGGCGAGCGUUGUCCGGAAUUAUUGGGCGUAAAGAGCUCGUAGGCGGUUUGUCGCGUCGACUGUGAAAACCUACAGCUUAACUGUGGGCUUGCAGUCGAUACGGGCAGACUUGAGUUCGGUAGGGGAGACUGGAAUUCCUGGUGUAGCGGUGAAAUGCGCAGAUAUCAGGAGGAACACCGAUGGCGAAGGCAGGUCUCUGGGCCGAUACUGACGCUGAGGAGCGAAAGCGUGGGGAGCGAACAGG